UGUACAUGUAUAUCAAAUUGCUUACAACAGGUUGGAUUAGAGGGCUUUACCUUUAUCUUUGGAGAACUCUGUCACCGCAGACCCUUGUCCUCUAUGCAGUUUUGCUUGCUACAGGAAAACAUAUAUCUUCUAUCUCAAAUUCCUGUCAUGAGUGGAGCAUGCCAAUGACAUGAGAAACUGCAGCAAAAUCAGAAAUACAAAAUGAUCAAGAUAUUUAUUUUUGAUUACACACUGUUUAAUCAAGUGGUGUGGAAAAGACAUCCAAUAAAGAGGAGCUAUUUUGCUAUUUGCCACUUCUACUUUGAAUUUUACCAACCUCUCUUUGUGUCAAUGUUUUUCUGUGUACAAGUUCACCCAGCAUGUGCUCUCACAUGUGUUUCCCUAUACUGGUUUCCUUCCAAGUUUGUCUUCUCCUUUGUGCAAACUUUAAAAUAGGAAAUAAGGACAUUGGGUGUAUCAAAAAUCAGGUAUUUCUGUAAGUUCUGAAAAGUACAGUAAAAUACGAAACUUCAGUGUGAUUUCAACUAAUAUUUUUUUAAGUACGUUUUAACUUAUUGCUGUGAAACACUUGUGGCAAUUUGUGUACCAUUUCAGUCGAUCAUUAAAUUACAUUUCAAGUUUUACUAAACAGCUUUACGACAAAAGUUUCUUCUCCUUUAGAAACUGCUAUAAGAGCAUCCCCAGAUAGGUGUUCCAUCUAUUAUUUAGUAGUAAAUACAAUGAAAUGUGUAAGCAUAGUAAUUUUAUUAGUCCAACUGGUGUUUCAGUACUGCUACAGUGAUAUUUUACAUAUUUUGUAAGACUUCAAGUUACAAACCUUGAAUCUUUUUUCAUAUGAAUUACAUAACUUUUAUGGUACAAUAGAGUGUUUGGCAAUUACUUGUUUAUUUAAAAAUAUAUAUAGUUAGAUACUAUGUGUUUGAGUUAGUCUACUUAGACUGAAGCAUUUGGGCAGGGGGAAACUUGGGGCAAAUUAGACCUUUAUUUUUCUAUCCAUGUCUCUUAUGCACAUCAUAAUGUGUUCAGAUUUCUCUUCCCUGCCCUCCCCCUCCCCUGCUUUUUUGCAAGGAGGGAAUUGCAAAAAUUACAUGGGUGACUGUUGCAAGCAUUGUACAGAGAAAAUGUAAAAUGUGAUUGGGAGUCAUAGGAUCUCAAGUCUGAAGGAAUUUUUACACCAUUUAGUCUCACAGGCACACCAUCUAGUUAUUUUUGCAUUAAGGUAACAGUGCUUAUUAUGACUUUAACACAAGAGACAUAAUUUAUAUGCAGAGCUUCUAGCUUUCCUUCAAUUGUACAUUAUUGGUAUAAUCAACAUGUCGAAGUGUGGCAUUCAUUAAAAACAUUUGGGUCUAAUUCAUUCCUCUAACCAUGACUCCUCUGAGGAGCUUAUUGCUCAUAUGUGACUAACGAUGUAGGCAAUGGACACACAGGUGCAAAUUUCAUACUGAAGUAUGGUCCAGUUAAAGGCCUUAGCAAAAAUAAGAAGUGCUUUUACAGUGAAAAGUCUCCAUGUUUUUCAAAUUAUUAUAAAUAGUGUAGAUGAAUUGUGACUCAUCAAUAAAAAUCUCCACACAUA